GUUCACCGUGUUAUCAGGCCGAGUUACUAAUGUUACUAAAGCUAAUUCAUUUGACUAUCACAUUCAAAAUAUCUAUGCUUUGUUUGUUUAGUAUAUCUGUUUUUGAUGAUCUUCUUGAAGUGGUCAGAGGGGAGAUUUGGUUACUCGGUACGUGAGGCCAACAUUUCGUGGGGGAAAACUAAAUGGAGCACAUUGGUUCUGCAACUAGAUCAUAGCACAUGGGUUCUUGAGUACAGUCUAAGCUUUAGAUAACUCAACUUCAUCAAAGGUUCUUCAAUUGACACGUCAGACACGGUUGUUUUCGGCUUACAAAUAAUUAUCAGUCCAAUAAUUAUCAAUCCAGCCACGUCUGUUUGUUUCCAGUGAACUAAUGACCCAUUAUGUAAUUUGGUUGCAGGUCCAGACAAGAAGCUCUAAGCAACAAUACAAGUUUCGAGUAUGAACAGACUUGCGUAACUGCCGUUGGCUCUGUUUCCUCUCCAUUCAGUCAACUGAGUUAAUCAUCUUAAUAAUUGUUUGCAAUCAAGUUCCCCCAUUAUGUGCUAUUUAAUUCAGCCUAUACCUUCUAUAUAUGUAGACUCUGGUGUAUAUAUAUGGUCACUGUGCUCCAGAGGAAAUGGCCCGUUUCUGCAUCUCCUUAUCUAACGAAAUCUUUCUGAAGUGAAGCAUCAACUCAUGGCGAAUUCCAAAAUCCACCUUUCCAUCUUUGAGUGCAUGGACCACAAUCUGUACCAGAUAACGCAAGAAAGGGAACAACGACCUUUCUCUGAGGGAAAAAUAAGUACUUUUAUGUCUCAGAUGCUUCAAGUCCUCGCACACAUGCAUAAAAAUAGUUAUUUCCAUCGGCAACUGAAACCAAAGAAUUUGCUGGUGACCAGCAAUAUCCUCAAGAUUGCUGACUUUGGACUGGCUUGCGAAGUUGCAUCUAUGCUUCCUCGAAAAUGUCUCACCAGUUUCAGGUAUGGUCUUGAAUAUUGAUACCUAAAACAAUCAAAACACUUCUUCUCUAUGCAGACCGUAGGGUUCCAGCUGAAAGUUUCGAGUGAAGAAAGCAAGAGGACAGCUUUGAAAAUACAAAGAGUGUAAAGGUAGGCUCAAGAAAUGAUAUGUAGAUGAUAGAGCACAAGUAGUGUAUUAUUAUUGUUUUUGAAGGAAUUACAAUCUCAGUAUUUCUAAUGACCUUGAGCCCAUUUACAAGAGAUUUCUCUCAGUGUUUCAUACAAUCCUAGAAAAUGGCCAACCCUAGAUGAAGAAGAUGAGUACGUUACAUAAGAUUCAGUUGUUGGCUAACUGAUUCUAACGUUUAAUCAACUGAGUCACCUUCACACAGUGCCAUGUCAGCUUCACUUUCAGCUCAUCAAUCAGCCUGAGUUACUUAUCCGUAGUGACCUGAAUUAAUAUUAAGCUAAUCGUCUCAUUGCUUAUUGGUAUUAUAUGAAUUCUUUGUAUAAUUAUGCUCACAUUCUUUUGAAGG